GACGAACCGUGCGAACGUUAUUCGGAAUCACUGGGCUUAAAGCGCGUGUAGGCGGGCCGGCACGUCGGCCGCUGAAAGCCCCCGGCUCAACCGGGGAAGCGGCGCCGAUACGACCGGCCUGGAGGGGGGUAGGGGGAGCCGGAACUCACGGUGGAGCGGUGAAAUGCGUUGAGAUCGUGAGGAACGCCCGUGGCGAAAGCGGGCUCCUGGGCCCCGCCUGACGCUGAGACGCGAAAGCCAGGGGAGCGAACGGGAUU
rnacentral:rRNA from 1 species